CCUACGGGAGGCAGCAGUGAGGAAUAUUGGUCAAUGGCCGUAAGGCUGAACCAGCCAAGUCGCGUGAAGGAAGAAGGAUCUAUGGUUUGUAAACUUCUUUUAUAGGGGAAUAAAGGUAUCCACGUGUGGAUAUUUGCAUGUACCCUAUGAAUAAGCAUCGGCUAACUCCGUGCCAGCAGCCGCGGUAAUACGGAGGAUGCGAGCGUUAUCCGGAUUUAUUGGGUUUAAAGGGUGCGUAGGUUGUUGUUUAAGUCAGCGGUGAAAGUUUGUGGCUGAACCACAAGAUUGCCGUUGAAACGGGAAGACUUGAGGGCGUAUGAGGUAGGCGGAAUGCGUGGUGUAGCGGUGAAAUGCAUAGAUAUCACGCAGAACACCGAUUGCGAAGGAAGCUUACUAAGCCACAACUGACGCUGAGGCACGAAAGCGUGGGGAUCAAACAGGAUUAGAUACCCGAGUAGUC
rnacentral:rRNA from 1 species